UCCUCAGAACUGAAUCUGUUCCCUGUUGCUCCUCAUCAUGGCGAGGUUCCAAAUCUUUCUUGUACUUAUGUCCGUGAUGCUGAGCGUAGCCAUGGCGGAUCCAUUCACUGUGACAACUUUUGCCCCGAGUCCUGGCCGGAGAGGGUAGUAGGCAUCGAGAAGGCCUGCCCUUCAUCUCAAUAAACAGUUAGUGCAA